UAGCCGUAAACGAUACUCGCUAGGUGUCGGCCACGGUGCGACCGUUGUCGGUGCCGUAGGGAAGCCGUGAAGCGAGCCACCUGGGAAGUACGGCCGCAAGGCUGAAACUUAAAGGAAUUGGCGGGGGAGGCACCACAACGGGUGGAGCUUGCGGUUUAAUUGGAUUCAACGCCGGAAAUCUUACCGGGACCCGACAGCAACAUGAAGGCCAGGCUGAAGACUUUGCCGGAUUAGCUGAGAGGAGGUGCAUGGCGUCAGUGACU
rnacentral:rRNA from 1 species